AAACAGCCCCCUAUGUUUUGAUUCUUUGGUAGUUUUGGAUCCCCAAGGCAAAAAAAAAUUGACACGUGGCACCUCACUUAGGGUGCCACGUCAGCGUUGACCGAGUCAACAAUGGACUGGGGGUCCAAAACUGCCAAAGAAUCAAAACAUAGGGGGCUGUUU
rfam:Medicago truncatula strain A17 chromosome 6, whole genome shotgun sequence.